AGUGAACGCUGGCGGUAGGCCUAACACAUGCAAGUCGAACGGCAGCACAGUAAGAGCUUGCUCUUACGGGUGGCGAGUGGCGGACGGGUGAGGAAUACAUCGGAAUCUACUUUUUCGUGGGGGAUAACGUAGGGAAACUUACGCUAAUACCGCAUACGACCUACGGGUGAAAGCAGGGGAUCUUCGGACCUUGCGCGGUUGAAUGAGCCGAUGUCGGAUUAGCUAGUUGGCGGGGUAAAGGCCCACCAAGGCGACGAUCCGUAGCUGGUCUGAGAGGAUGAUCAGCCACACUGGAACUGAGACACGGUCAAGACUCCUACGGGAGGCAGCAGUGGGGAAUAUUGGACAAUGGGCGCAAGCCUGAUCCAGCCAUACCGCGUGGGUGAAGAAGGCCUUCGGGUUGUAAAGCCCUUUUGUUGGGAAAGAAAAGCAGCAGGUUAAUACCCCGCUGUUCUGACGGUACCCAAAGAAUAAGCACCGGCUAACUUCGUG
rnacentral:rRNA from 1 species